ensembl:lncRNA
CAACCUAUCAUGUGAGCUGAAACUGUUAAAUGUAGAAAGAUUAUUAUCCUGAAAAAGCAACAGACCAACAGACCUAUCAUCUAGCAGCAUCCAAAUGUUGGAAUCAUCUCCAAAACAAAACACAAUAUGUCCCAAAUGGCACCCCAUUCCCUACAUAGUGCACUACUUUAGACCAGAGCCCUAUGGCACGCUAUUCCCUAAAUAGUGGACUAUUUUAGACCAGAGCCCUAUGGCACCCUAUUCCCUAUUUAGUGUACUUAUUUUGACCAGAGCUCUGGGACACAAUCAACAAGAAUAAUCAUUUGUAUAUUUUAAUAUAAUUCUGCCCUGUAAAUUAAGCUUCAUACCUACUUUACAACAAAAACAGAGCUUUUUCCUAACUUAGUGCUGAAAAAGGAACAUCUAUAUUUGAUGCUUAUUAAUUAAUCAAAUGAACAACUUCAGGUGAAAUCAGUUUCAAUAAAUAUGAAAUACAACAAGACACUUCAGUGGAGGAGCUUAUGUACAGAGAGAGACAUUUUGACAUUGUGAGUGCGAUUGGUUGUAUCCUACAUGGCACCCUAUAUAGUGCACUACUUUAGACCAGGGCCUUAUGGCACCCUAUUCCCUAUAUAGUGCACUACUGUAGACCAGAGCCCUAUGGGCCCAGAUUGCUACUGUGAUUAUAAUGCAUUCGGGUUCUGCAUCACAAAUGGCACCCUAUUCCUAGAGUGUAGUGCACUACUUUUGACCAAAGUCUUGACCAAAAGUAGUGCACUACGUAGGGAAUAGUGUGCCUUGUGGCAUGCGGCCCAGGUUUGUGUAUCAGCUGAGCGAUCCAUGGACAAGGCAAGAGUAGUAACAAGGAAAGCAAAGAGAAAGGACCCAUACUAUUCUACACCUAUAUUAACACACAGCCUCUUGUAGGAUAUCAGCACAUGUCAAAUACAACCGUCAUUCUCCCCACAGGAACUGCUUACAUUUGUGCUGCUAACUUUUUAAAACACACUAAAACAACUACUUUGUUAUUGCUAAGACGUGAUGACAGCAGCAUAUAAACAGACUAGUGAUAGAACAGGUUUGAGAAAUGCUGUCGAAUGAAAACCUUGGAACUCCAUUUUUGCAAUUUUACCAUUUUGUAUUUAUUUUGAUUUGUUUACAGAAAUUGAAAGCAGUAACUCCCCGUAGUGUACUCUCAACACUUCAUGACUCUAGGACAAGAAAUUGAUUUUAGUUUUUUUUUUUUUUAUCUUUGAAGGUUUCGUAAAUUGUUAAUGGGAAAAUAUGGCAGUUUUUCCCAUUUCCUGAAAAUGUUCUGUUGUGGAGAUAAGAAGUUUUCAUCCGACAGCGACAGCAGGAGAGCACCUUUUAACAUCAACCCUACUGCCCCUUCGUGAUUCUAUAUUACAACAUUGAAGAACAUAAAGAUUAAACAUAACUAUUUCAAAUCAAAGCGUUUGGAUCAAACAUCAGGUUGGCUUCUAAGUGUUUGUGACUUUAGGAACGUUGAGGAAACAGACAGUAAAAAAUACUUCUCAGGUCAGUUGGGCUACAUUCUUUAAUCCCACUGUGCCUUUACAGUCUAGGUCUGCCACAUGGUUGGUGCAGAUAGCAGACAUUAAGUUGAUUCCUCUUGGUGCCUCGUGGUGCAGAUAAAGGAACAGACAUUAAGUUGAUUCCUCUUGGUGCCAAUAGCAGACAAUAAGUUGAUUCCUGGUGCCGAUAGCAGACAAUAAGUUUAUUCCUGUUAAGGGGUUGCCCAGGGGACAGAGGGGUUCCCCAGGGGACAGAGGGGUUCCCCAGGGGACAGAGGGGUUCCCCAGGACAGAGGGGUUCCCCAGGGGACAGAGAAAGAGGGGUUCCCCAGGGGACAGAGAAAGAGGGGUUCCCCAGGGGACAGAGAAAGAGGGGUUCCCCAGGGGACAGAGAAAGAGGGGUUCCCCAGGACAGAGAGAUCCCCGGGGGACAGAGAAAGAGGGGUUCCCCAGGACAGAGGGAUCCCCAGGGGACAGAGAAAGAGGGGUCCCCCAGGACAGGCUCUCCCACACAGCACAGGGUUUUCUUGAAUAGUUAUGUUUUUGUCCCUG